rnacentral:tRNA from 1 species
GGCCCCGUGGUGUAGGUGGACAAUCAUCUCGGCCUUUGGAGCCGAAUACGGAGGUUCGAAUCCUCCCGGGGAUA